UUGGCGCUGGCCCGGUUCGGGGUGGCUCGGCCGCCUCGCGCGCGACCGCAUGGCACAGGUCAGUGUGAGCCUGAACGUAGCCGACGCGCCUGUC
rnacentral:tRNA from 1 species